UAACCCGGGAACUGCUUCGAAAGAAUAACACCAAGAACUUGAUCGUCUCUUUGAAUAGAACCCUUUCCUUUCACUUUGUUCCUUCAGGUAUGUACGAUUGCCUGUUUUUUUUUUAUUCGUUACUAAAACUCUAAUAUUAGCUACUAUCCAGUUUUUGCAUAUUUGUUCAUUAUUUGUUAUCUUUAAGCAGCAUGUGUUAUCUCCAACUUAUGUAGUCAAUAGAUGUAACGUAGGCGACCAUUUAUGCUACCCAGUAACAAAUGGCAUGCUAACCAAGCAUAUUGGUCCAUGGGUCCCUUCGAAGUUGGAAGUUACAGAACUGAUCAGAGCUAUUUGUGUCAGUUGAGUCCUUGACGGAUAAAUUUCUGGAAAUAGGUCGAGCAGCAUGUUCAAUAUAAAAGGUAGCGGUUUAUAAUAUUUCAGGCGUUGGAUGUUGUUUGUGUAGUUGUGUAAACGGUGAAUUUCUUAUAUCAAAUGUCUGCGCAUUAUGUUUAUUUUACC
rnacentral:lncRNA from 1 species